UUUAGCCUACGGGGGGCAGCAGUGGGGAAUAUUGCACAAUGGGGGAAACCCUGAUGCAGCGACGCCGCGUGAGUGAAGAAGUAUUUCGGUAUGUAAAGCUCUAUCAGCAGGGAGGAAAUAGCGACCUUUGGGUCGCCAGACGGUACCUGACUAAGAAGCCCCGGCUAACUACGUGCCAGCAGCCGCGGUAAUACGUAGGGGGCAAGCGUUAUCCGGAUUUACUGGGUGUAAAGGGAGCGUAGACGGCAGCACAAGUCCGAAGUGAAAUGCCGGGGCUUAACCCCGGAACUG
rnacentral:rRNA from 1 species